AUGACCAAGUCGAUGUUAAUCCCAUGCAUCUUAAUCUUCUUGAUCAGCCCAACAUGGGGGACUUUCUCAAAUAUCUUACGAAAAUCCACUUUGACAAUAUAGAUCA